CCAUCGUGGUGGAGCCGGGCUGCAGAGCUAUGGGGCGCUAUGGGGCACUUUAGGGCUCUAUGAGGCUCUAUGGGGCACGCUAUGGGGCUCUAUGGGGCACUAUGGGGCUCUAUGGGGAGCUAUGGGGCACUAUGGGUCGCUAUGGAGCCCUAUGGGAUGCUAUGGGGCUCUAUGGGGCACUAUGGGGUUCUAUGUGGCUCCGUGGGGCGCUAUGGGGCACUCUAUGGGGCUCUAUGGGGCACUAUGGGGCUCUGUGUGGAGCUCUAUGGGGCGCUAUGAGGCUCUAUGGGUCUCUAUGGGGCGCUAUGUGGCUCUAUGGGGCUCUAUGGGGCUCUAUGGUGCUCUAUGGGGCUCUCUAUGGGGCACGCUGCCCCCCAGCACCAUCGUGGUGGAGCCGGGCUGCAGAGCUAUGGGGCACUAUGGGGCACUAUUGGGCUCUAUGGGGCUCUAUGGGGCACGCUAUGGGGCUCUGUGGGGCUCUAUGGGGGGCUCUAUGGGGCGCUAUGGGGCACGCUAUGGGGCGCUCUAUGGGUCACGCUGCCCCCCCAGCACCAUCGUGGUGGAGCCGGGCUGCAGAGCUGUGGGGCGCUAUGGGGCACUUUAGGGCUCUAUGGGGCGCUAUGGGGCACUAUGAGGCUGUAUGGGGCGCUAUGAGGCACUUAAGGGCUCUAUGGGGUGCUAUGUGGCUCUAUGGGGAGCUAUGGGGCGCUGUGGUGCGCUAUGGGGCACUAUGGGGCGCUAUGGGGCACUUUAGGGCUCUAUGAGGCUCUAUGGGGCACUAUGAGGCUCUAUGGGGCUCUAUGGGGCACUAUGGGGCUCUAUGGGGCUCUGUGUGCGGCUCUAUGGGAUGCUAUGGGGCACUUUAGGGCUCUAUGGGGCGCUAUGGGGCACGCUAUGGGGCGCUCUAUGGGGCACGCUGCCCCCCCAGCACCAUCGUGGUGGAGCCGGGCUGCGAGGCGCGGCUGACGUCGCUGGGUGACAUCCGCAUCGCCGUGGGGAGCGCUCCCCCCCGCGCCGUGGGGCCCGACCUCGACCCCGUGC
rnacentral:lncRNA from 1 species